rnacentral:rRNA from 1 species
UACGAAGGGGGGCUAGCGUUGCUCGGAAUCACUGGGCGUAAAGCGCACGUAGGCGGCUUGUUAAGUCAGGGGUGAAAUCCUGGAGCUCAACUCCAGAACUGCCUUUGAUACUGGCGAUCUCGAGUCCGGGAGAGGUGAGUGGAACUGCGAGUGUAGAGGUGAAAUUCGUAGAUAUUCGCAAGAACACCAGUGGCGAAGGCGGCUCACUGGCCCGGUACUGACGCUGAGGUGCGAAAGCGUGGGGAGCAAACAGG